rnacentral:rRNA from 1 species
UUAAAUUGAAGAGUUUGAUCAUGGCUCAGAUUGAACGCUGGCGGCAGGCCUAACACAUGCAAGUCGAACGGUAACAGGAAGCAGCUUGCUGCUUUGCUGACGAGUGGCGGACGGGUGAGUAAUGUCUGGGAAACUGCCUGAUGGAGGGGGAUAACUACUGGAAACGGUAGCUAAUACCGCAUAACGUCGCAAGACCAAAGAGGGGGACCUUCGGGCCUCUUGCCAUCGGAUGUGCCCAGAUGGGRUUAGCUAGUAGGU